rnacentral:rRNA from 1 species
UACGUAGGGGGCCAGCGUUGUCCGGAAUCAUUGGGCGUAAAGAGCGUGUAGGCGGUCCGGUAAGUCCGCUGUGAAAGUCGGGGGCUCAACCCUCGAAUGCCGGUGGAUACUGUCGGGCUAGAGUGCGGAAGAGGCGAGUGGAAUUCCUGGUGUAGCGGUGAAAUGCGCAGAUAUCAGGAGGAACACCUAUUGCGAAGGCAGCUCGCUGGGACGUAACUGACGCUGAGACGCGAAAGCGUGGGGAGCAAACAGG